AUUCAUCUUCGGGGCUGGGUGAAAUUCCCGACCGGCGGUGAUGGGGCAUAGGCCCCUAAGCCCGCGAGCCGCAAGGCAGGAUUUGGUGAGAUUCCAAAGCCGACAGUAAAGUCUGGAUGGGAGAAGGUGAAG
rnacentral:ncRNA from 2 species